rnacentral:snRNA from 1 species
GUGUUCGCUUCAGCAGCACAUAUACUAAAAUUAGAAUGAUAGAGAGAUUAGCAUGGCCCCUGUGCAAGGAUGACACGCAAAUUCAUGAAGCGUUCCAUAAAAAU